AUUGAACGCUGGCGGAAUGCUUUACACAUGCAAGUCGAACGGCAGCACGGGGCAACCUGGUGGCGAGUGGCGAACGGGUGAGUAAUACAUCGGAACGUGCCCAAUCGUGGGGGAUAACGUAGCGAAAGUUACGCUAAUACCGCAUACGAUCUACGGAUGAAAGCGGGGGAUCGCAAGACCUCGCGCGAGUGGAGCGGCCGAUGUCAGAUUAGGUAGUUGGUGGGGUAAAGGCUCACCAAGCCAACGAUCUGUAGCUGGUCUGAGAGGACGACCAGCCACACUGGAACUGAGACACGGUCCAGACUCCUACGGGAGGCAGCAGUGGGGAAUUUUGGACAAUGGGCGCAAGCCUGAUCCAGCCAUUCCGCGUGCAGGAUGAAGGCCUUCGGUUGUAACUGCUUUUGUACGGAACGAAACGGCGAGCUCUAAUACAGUUUGCUAAUGACGGUACCGUAAGAAUAAGCACCGGCUAACUACGUGCCAGCAGCCGCGGU
rnacentral:rRNA from 1 species